rnacentral:snoRNA from 1 species
AAUGUGGUUAAUGAUGCUGAACUUUUUUCCCCAUCGUAUCGACAAUGGUGAAUAUUAACUGAAACUAAGCCAGUUUAUCUGAAACCACAUU